CUGGAGGAAGAGAUCCAGUGUAAAUAGAACUUUCAAGCUGACCGUUGCUCUAUUGCUCUCUUGGCAGUUUCUUGCUUUCUGUUGCACCGCGUGAAGUGUGAAGCUUAUUCUUGAAGAGACCUCUACUUGGCUCUACAGUGGAAAUGGAUCCAGAAGUUUCUAGAUAGUUUUGAGGAGAGGGAGAAGUGGUCAGAAGGGAGGAGAGCC